AAACUAAUCUUCCCGUGAAGAAGCGGGAAUAUCCCCAUAAGACGAGAAGACCCCAUGGAGCUUCAAACCCAAUUACACCCCUAACACCUAUGACCACUUAACCCUUAGGAUUCUGUAUUAUCGGUUUUAGGUUGGGGCGACCACGGAGUACAACAAAACCUCCACAAUGAACGGAACUACUUCCUCAUCUGUGAGCUACACCUCUGAGAAUUAAAAUAUUAACAUAAAAUGAUCCAUUUUUUGAUCAAUGAACCAAGUUACCCU
rnacentral:rRNA from 1 species